CGUAAGGUGGCAGCGCCGCAUAAACAGCUGGUCUGUCUGUGUGCCCACAAAAACAUAUAUCGAUAUACCAGUCCAUGCAUCACAGCGACGCUAAAUUCCCUCGAAAAAAUCGCGUGUGACUUCGGCCAGAUCCAGAGAAUAGGGUAGUUGAAGGAACAGUUCGUUCCGGUUCCCGAAAAGGAGACAGACUCGCAAAGAGAUGGCUGAAGCAUUCAGGCGUGGAGCAGGACGCGAUCCACGGGUUUUGCAGAGGUCCGUUAGUGUCCUCGGAAAGGGCAGUCGGUAGCUCCUGGACGACCUCCGAGUGGAGAUGGAGAACUAUGUCUCGCUCGUCAAGACAAGGCCAUAAUCGGCAAGGCGAACAUCUCUGUGGAGUCUAACAGAAUGAGCAAAGACUUUCCUUUAGAUACAUAUGCCCGUUAGUGGAGGGCGCUGAACCUGGGCAUUACUCUCAAGAAGUGGACAAGAUGCUGGAACUAGAAGUGAUAGGCCCUGUCGAUAGACCGUGUAACCUUGAUUAGCCGUCCCUAUAUAUAUAUGUAUAGGUAUAUCUAUUUAUUAAUUGCAUAUGUAGUACAUAGUAUUAAUAUAUAUGUAUGUACUGUAUUUAUUCAUAGAUUUAAUCAAAUCUUCCCCCAUUACGUAAAGAUUAUGAGGCCGCAACAGUCGAGCGCUCAGCCAAAUUUUUGUGUCAUAGUUACAGUUAAAUGUGUUGAAACGUUCGGUUGAAAAUUAUAACGAAAAUAUGAA